GAUGAACGCUGGCGGCGUGCCUAAUACAUGCAAGUCGAGCGAACAGAUGAGGAGCUUGCUCCUCUGACGUUAGCGGCGGACGGGUGAGUAACACGUGGAUAACCUACCUAUAAGACUGGGAUAACUUCGGGAAACCGGAGCUAAUACCGGAUAAUAUCUUGAACCGCAUGGUUCAAUAGUGAAAGACGGUUUUGCUGUCACUUAUAGAUGGAUCCGCGCCGCAUUAGCUAGUUGGUAGGGUAACGGCUUACCAAGGCAACGAUGCGUAGCCGACCUGAGAGGGUGAUCGGCCACACUGGAGCUGAGACACGGUCCAGACUCCUACGGGAGGCAGCAGUAGGGAAUCUUCCGCAAUGGGCGAAAGCCUGACGGAGCAACGCAGCGUGAGUGAUGAAGGUCUUCGGAUCGUAAAACUCUGUUAUUAGGGAAGAACAAAUGUGUAAGUAACUAUGCACGUCUUGACGGUACCUAAUCAGAAAGCCACGGCUAACUACGU
rnacentral:rRNA from 1 species